rnacentral:rRNA from 1 species
AGAGUUUGAUCAUGGCUCAGAUUGAACGCUGGCGGCAUGCUUUACACAUGCAAGUCGAACGGUAACGCGGGGGCAACCCUGGCGACGAGUGGCGAACGGGUGAGUAAUACAUCGGAACGUGUCCUGAGGUGGGGGAUAACCUAUCGAAAGGUAGGCUAAUACCGCAUACGCUCGGGAGAGGAAAGCGGGGGAUCGGUAACGACCUCGCGUCGCAGGAGCGGCCGAUGUCCGAUUAGCUAGUUGGUGGGGUAAAGGCUUACCAAGGCGACGAUCGGUAGCUGGUCUGAGAGGAUGAUCAGCCACACUGGGACUGAGACACGGCCCAGACUCCUACGGGAGGCAGCAGUGGGGAAUUUUGGACAAUGGGGGCAACCCCGAUCCAGCCAUGCCGCGUGAGUGAAGAAGGCCUUCGGGUUGUAAAGCUCUUUCGGUGGGAACGAAACGGUUACCACUAAUACUGGUGACUACUGACGGUACUCACAGAAGAAGCACCGGCUAACUACGUGCCAGCAGCCGCGGUAAUACGUAGGGUGCGAGCGUUAAUCGGAAUUACUGGGCGUAAAGCGUGCGCAGGCGGUGGCUCAAGCCAGGCGUGAAAUCCCCGGGCUUAACCUGGGAAUGGCGUUUGGGACUGGGUCGCUAGAGUGUGGCAGAGGGAGGUGGAAUUCCACGUGUAGCAGUGAAAUGCGUAGAGAUGUGGAGGAACACCGAUGGCGAAGGCAGCCUCCUGGGCCAGCACUGACGCUCAUGCACGAAAGCGUGGGGAGCAAAUAGGAUUAGAUACCCUAGUAGUCC